UACAGAGGAUGCAAGCGUUAUCCGGAAUGAUUGGGCGUAAAGCGUCUGUAGGUGGCUUUUUAAGUCCGCCGUCAAAUCCCAGGGCUCAACUCUGGACAGGCGGUGGAAACUACCAAGCUGGAGUACGGUAGGGGCAGAGGGAAUUUCCGGUGGAGCGGUGAAAUGCGUAGAGAUGCGGAGGAACACCGAUGGCGAAGGCAGCCCCCUGGGCCAAUACUGACGCUCAGGCACGAAAGCGUGGGGAGCAAACGAGGAUAGAA
rnacentral:rRNA from 1 species